GGUCUGUGUUCGGAAAAGGGAGGGCACACCCUGUUUCUACAUCGGGAUAGGCGGAGGCGAAGGACCGAGAAGGUGCCGGAUGAGUCUGGCUCCGUAGCCCAAGCUGGUAUGGAAUUCACUAUAUAUUCAUAGUGUAGACCAGGAUGGACUUGAACUUUCAGUGUUCCUCUAAUCUCAACUUCCAAAAUGCUGACAUUACAGAGAUGUGCCACUGUACCUGAUGAAAGCUGUAGUUUAUGUUGACACAACUCAGUAAUAU